UACAUGUGGGGCAAGCGUUGUUCGGAAUUACUGGGCGUAAAGCGUGCGCAGGCGGUUCUAUAAGACAGAUGUGAAAUCCCCGGGCUCAACCUGGGAACUGCAUUUGUGACUGUAGAGCUGGAGUACGGCAGAGGGGGAUGGAAUUCCGCGUGUAGCAGUGAAAUGCGUAGAUAUGCGGAGGAACACCGAUGGCGAAGGCAAUCCCCUGGGCCUGUACUGACGCUCAUGCACGAAAGCGUGGGGAGCAAACAGG
rnacentral:rRNA from 1 species